GCGGUAGUAGCUCAGUUGGUUAGAGCGUCUCCUUGCCAAGGAGAAGGUCGCCGGUUCGAAUCCGGUUUACCGCU
rnacentral:tRNA from 4 species